rnacentral:rRNA from 1 species
AAUCGCGAAUCAGCAUGUCGCGGUGAAUACGCUCCCGGGCCUUGUACACACCGCCCGUCACACCAUGAGAGUUGGCAAUACCCAACGUACGUGAUCUAACCCGCAAGGGAGGAAGCGUCCUAAGGUAGGGUCAGCGAUUGGGGUGAAGUCGUAACAAGGUAAC